rnacentral:rRNA from 1 species
UACGUAGGGUGCGAGCGUUGUCCGGAAUUAUUGGGCGUAAAGAGCUCGUAGGCGGUCUGUCGCGUCGGUCGUGAAAACUUGGGGCUUAACCCCGAGCUUGCGGUCGAUACGGGCAUGACUGGAGUUCGGCAGGGGAGACUGGAAUUCCUGGUGUAGCGGUGAAAUGCGCAGAUAUCAGGAGGAACACCGGUGGCGAAGGCGGGUUUCUGGGCCGAUACUGACGCUGAGGAGCGAAAGCGUGGGGAGCAAACAGG